UACGGAGGGUGCGAGCGUUGUCCGGAAUCACUGGGCGUAAAGGGCGCGUAGGCGGCCUGAUAAGUAGGGGGGUGAAAUCCUGCGGCUUAACCGCAGGGCUGCCUUCUAAACUGUCAGGCUCGAGCACAGUAGAGGCAGGUGGAAUUUCCGGUGUAGCGGUGGAAUGCGUAGAGAUCGGGAAGAACAUCAGUGGCGAAGGCGGCCUGCUGGGCUGUUGCUGACGCUGAGGCGCGACAGCGUGGGGGAGCAAACAGG
rnacentral:rRNA from 1 species